rnacentral:lncRNA from 1 species
AAUUUUUAAUUUGUUUCAGGUUUGAGAAAAUAUGGUCAUACACCUGUCUUCACUUGGUCAACCAACUGAUCAUAAGCCAACGGUGUUUCCUGAGCACUGACUGCAGGAGCCCAGGCCUGAGUCUGGAAGGACAGAGAGGAAGGAGGCUCUAUUUCUCCCUUCUCUUUAUGAAUUUAGGUCUUCCAAUACAGUCUAGUCAGGAUUUACCAACUCAUCAGAUAAUCCUGGGUUGAAUCCUAGUACUGUAACCUAGAAGCCAAGUGGAGCUUUGGCAAAUGAUGAAAAUAUUCCUGAGUUGUUCCCUCCUCUGUCACAUGGGGAUGAUGAUGACACUUACCUUGCAGGGAUACUGUAGGAGUCCAGGAGAUAGCAGGCAUCUUUGCAUCUACAAAUCUUUUCCUCUUCUCUUAGCCUUUAUCCUGGAGAAGCUCUGGGGGUGAGGACAGUCCACCAGCCCUGUGCAAGGCUGGUUUUUAUUUUGUUUUGUUCAGUACUGGGGAUUGAACCCAGAGGCGCUCGACCACUGAGCCACAUCCCCAGCCCUCUUUAUUUUUUAUUUCAAAUCAGGGUCUCACUAAGUUUCCCAGGCUGGCUCCAAACUUGUGACCCUCUUGUUUCAGCCCUUAAGUAGCUGGAAUUAUAGACAUGCGUCACUACGCCUGGCAUGAAGGCUGUAUUCUUAAGGCCAAGGGCCCUUACCUCCAUGGUCACAGGAAAGCAGGCUCAUGUUGUCUGUCUGUAAGCAGAGGCAGCAAAUUGACUGCCUGGCAGCCAAAACCAACUUUAGACACUUCUAACUUUUCCCUGUGUGAUGUUAAAAAAUAAUCUGUUGCCAGUGAAUUUGGGGGUUCUCUUGAAAAUCAGAAGACUCUGACCUUUGACCUUGACUGAAGAUGCCUUCUAUCUUUAGAUGGAUCAAGUAUUCUCCUGAUGACCUGUGACUUCCCACAGGGUAUCUAGCUGUGGUGAAAGAACACCAUUUAGUCCAGAUCCAGUUGGACUUCAAAAUUGUUAAAGAACCAAGCCAAAAGGGCAGCCUUGACCCUAAGAGGAUCUCCUGGAAAAAUAAAGGCUGACUGCAUUCACUGAUUCACAAAAGUUAACUGAGCAAGAUGUGCAAGUUGCUGUACUGGCUACAGUGGGGCAAGAGAAAGAAUAUCUAUUGAGAACCUCCUUUGUGUCAGGCCCUGACAUGAGCUCAUCUAUCCUCCCAUCAGCUUUGGGAGGUAUGUAUUAAGAUUUUAGUUGCCAGGCUGGGGAUAUAGGUCAGUUGGUAGAGUGCUUGUCUCGCAUACACAUGGACUUUAGUAUAAAUAUUGGUUCAUUGUUGGUAACAGAUGUACUAUAGUAAUGUGGGAUGUUAUAAGGGCAAUUGUGUGUGGGGUUUGUGGGACUCUUUACUACAUUCUCAAUUUUUUUAUAAAUCUAAAAUUGUUCUAAAAUAAAAUUUGUUCAAAAAAUAAAAGAACUAGGCUGGGGAUUCAGCUCAGGGAGAGAGCUCUUGCCUAGCCUGCACCAGACCCUGAGUUCAAUCCCCAAAAGUAAAAGGAUAGGUCAAAUAGCUAUACUCCCAUCCCUGUUAUUUUAUAAAAAAUAAAAAAAAUUAAGUCCCCAAUUUUGAUUUAUAAUACUAGAAAUAUCAGCAGGUAUAGCCACAUACACAAAAUUCAUAGGAUCCUCAACUUUUUUUAAAAUUUUGCUUUGGGGUUUGGGGGGGGCGGAUCUCUCUAAAUUGCCCAAGCUGGCCUCAAACUUGAAAUCCUUCUGCAUCAGCCUCCUGAGUAGCUGGGAUUGUAGGGAGCACCACAGCGCCUGACUGCAAAAUUUUAAAGGUUAUAAAGGGAUCCUAAGACCCAAAGGUUUGAGAACAGUUACACUAGUCUUAGGCUUUUUUAUGUAUUUUUUCUCUUGGAGGUACUGAGAGAGUGAACUUGGGGCCUGUGUUCAUGCUAGGCAAGUGCUCUACCACUGCAUCUCCAGCUCCUGUCCUAAUCUUAGGUUCAUUUCCUUUAUUUCCUCUCCCUCUUCAGUCUCUGUUCCAUUUAUUAAGCACCUGCUAUAGGUGAUUGCUUGCUUUGGACCUCAGCUCCUUCUUGUUUAAAACUAAGAUGAAACAGUUAAGAAGUUCACAUGCCUUACAAUUCCUGAUCUCUACCCUCCCUAAAUAUCCAAGCAGAUUUUCUUUUUUUUAUUUUUAUUUUUUUAAAUUGUAGUUGGACACAAUACUUUUAUUUCACUCAU